UCCUACGGGGCGCAGCAGUAGGGAAUUUUCGUCAAUGGGCGCAAGCCUGAACGAGCAAUGCCGCGUGAACGAGGAAGGUCUUCGGAUCGUAAAGUUCUGUUGAAGGGGAAAAAGAGCGGCGAGAGGAAAUGGUCUCCGAUUGAUAUUACCCUUCGAGGAAGUCACGGCUAACUACGUGCCAGCAGCCGCGGUAAUACGUAGGUGGCGAGCGUUAUCCGGAAUGAUUGGGCGUAAAGGGUGCGUAGGCGGCAUGCUAAGUCUGGAGUGAAAGGUACCGGCUCAACCUGUACAGGCUCUGGAAACUG
rnacentral:rRNA from 1 species